UGCGACGACCCGGGCGGGAUCGAGCUUUUCCGGCCCUGGACCGGGAUGCCGGUGAGCACCAGGCGUCCUCCCGGUCGCAGCGGGGACGUCGCGG
rnacentral:tRNA from 1 species